rnacentral:rRNA from 1 species
AGAUUAAGUUAUUAAGGGCGCACCGUGGAUGCCUUGGCACUAGAAGCCGAUGAAGGACGUUACUAACGACGAUAUGCUUUGGGGAGCUGUAAGUAAGCUUUGAUCCAGAGAUUUCCGAAUGGGGAAACCCAGCAUGAGUUAUGUCAUGUUAUCGAUAUGUGAAUACAUAGCAUAUCAGAAGGCACACCCGGAGAACUGAAACAUCUUAGUACCCGGAGGAAGAGAAAGAAAAUUCUAUUCCCUUAGUAGCGGCGAGCGAACGGGGAGGAGCCCAAACCAACAAGCUUGCUUGUUGGGGUUGUAGGACACUCUAUACGGAGU